AAAAAAAUAGCAAAAAAUUAUCUAAAGAAAAAGAGAAAAAAAAAAUACAUAUCGGGAUGGAUAUACACAUGGCAUGAUUGACCGAGUUUAUGUAGCAUGUAUUGGACCGUCCACAUUUUGUUUUUGGAGUCAUAUUGGAGUCAAAAAUUCGCAGUUAAACCAAAUCGACUCAAAAUAUCGAGGCGACUGAUAAAUUCCGGUUAUAUAAUAAUCAUUUUUGUGGCAAUAAAAACUAAAAGGAA
rnacentral:sRNA from 1 species